UACGUAGGGUGCGAGCGUUAAUCGGAAUUACUGGGCGUAAAGCGUGCGCAGGCGGUUUUGUAAGCCGGAUGUGAAAUCCCCGGGCUUAACCUGGGAAUGGCAUUCGGGACUGCAAGGCUGGAGUGCGGCAGAGGAGACUGGAAUUCCUGGUGUAGCAGUGAAAUGCGUAGAUAUCAGGAGGAACACCGAUGGCGAAGGCAGGUCUCUGGGCCAUAACUGACGCUGAGAAGCGAAAGCAUGGGGAGCGAACAGG
rnacentral:rRNA from 1 species